rnacentral:rRNA from 1 species
GAUGAACGCUGCGGCGUGCCUAAUACAUGCAAGUCGAGCGAAUGGAUUAAGAGCUUGCUCUUAUGAAGUUAGCGGCGGACGGGUGAGUAACACGUGGGUAACCUGCCCAUAAGACUGGGAUAACUCCGGGAAACCGGGGCUAAUACCGGAUAACAUUUUGAACCGCAUGGUUCGAAAUUGAAAGGCGGCUUCGGCUGUCACUUAUGGAUGGACCCGCGUCGCAUUAGCUAGUUGGUGAGGUAACGGCUCACCAAGGCAACGAUGCGUAGCCGAGCGUAGAGGGUGAUCGGCCACACUGGGACGGGGAAACGGCCCAGACUCCUACGGGGGGCAGCAGUGGGGAAUCGUCCGCAAUGGACGAAAGUCUGACGGAGCAACGCCGCGUGAGUGAUGAAGGCUUUCGGGUCGUAAAGCUCUGUUGUUAGGGAAGAACAAGUGCUAGUUGAAUAAGCUGGCACCUUGACGGUACCUAACCAGAAAGCCACGGCUAACUACGUGCCAGCCGCCGCAGUAA